CGGAGGAAAUUGAAACCAACAGGGAUUGCCUCAGUAACGGCGAGUGAAGCGGCAACAGCUCAAAUUUGAAAUCUGGCUCUUUCAGGGUCCGAGUUGUAAUUUGUAGAGGGUGCUUUGGUGUUGGCCGUGGUCUAAGUUCCUUGGAACAGGACGUCACAGAGGGUGAGAAUCCCGUACGUGGCCGCCGGUCUUCACCGUGUAAAGCCCCUUCGACGAGUCGAGUUGUUUGGGAAUGCAGCUCUAAAUGGGAGAUAAAUUUCUUCUAAAGCUAAAUAUUGGCCAGAGACCGAUAGCGCACAAGUAGAGUGAUCGAAAGAUGAAAAGCACUUUGGAAAGAGAGUCAAAAAGCACGUGAAAUUGUUGAAAGGGAAGCGCUUGCAGCCAGACGUGCCCGCAGUUGCUCACCUGGGCUCUCGCCCGGGGCAUUCUUCUGCGGGCAGGCCAGCAUCAGUUCGGGCGGUUGGAUAAAGGCCUCUAUCACGUAUCUUCCUUCGGGAUGACCUUAUAGGGGAGGCGCAACACGGCCAGCCUGAACUGAGGACCGCGCAUCAGCUAGGAUGCUGGCGUAAUGGCUGUAAGCGGCCCGUCUUGAAACACGGACCAAGGAGUCUAACAUCUAUGCGAGUGUUUGGGUGUCAAGCCCGGGCGCGCAAUGAAAGUGAACGGAGGUGGGAACCUUUCGGGGUGCACCAUCGACCGAUCCUGAAGUCUUCGGAUGGAUUUGAGUAAGAGCAUAGCUGUUGGGACCCGAAAGAUGGUGAACUAUGCCUGAAUAGGGUGAAGCCAGGGGAAACCCUGGUGGAGGCUCGCAGCGGUUCUGACGUGUCAAAUCGAUCGUCAAAUUUGGGCAUAGGGG
rnacentral:rRNA from 1 species